rnacentral:lncRNA from 1 species
GGACCCAGGUAGCCAUUGGUUCCCUCUCUCUUUGGCUGUCCUGAUCUUCUGUCUGCUUCUCCUGUUGCUGGUAUAGAGAAAGUGAAUUUCUGCUGCUGGUGACAUCUUACUGCAAUUGCUGUUUGAAUCAAAGAAAGGACUCCGUAUUGAAU